rnacentral:rRNA from 1 species
GACGUAGGGGGCAAGCGUUGUCCGGAAUCAUUGGGCGUAAAGCGCGUGUAGGCGGCUUGGUAAGUCCGCUCUGAAAGCCCGGGGCUCAACCCCGGGAGGCGGGUGGAUACUGUCAAGCUCGAGUCCGGAAGAGGCGAGUGGAAUUCCUGGUGUAGCGGUGAAAUGCGCAGAUAUCAGGAGGAACACCAAUGGCGAAGGCAGCUCGCUGGGACGUGACUGACGCUGAGACGCGAAAGCGUGGGGAGCAAACAGG